AGACUUGGUGGGAGGGCGGACAGAGGGGACCUUGGCGCCAGGAGGGGCCUGAGAGAGUGCGUAGGAGCAGAUGGAGUGUUUACAGGCAGUCUGGAGAGCUGGAGAGUGGGAUUCCUGAGGAAGGGGGCCCGUGAAAUGAAUGGACGGCAUGCACUGGGAGCCUUAUGGCUGCGGUUUGCUGUUUGGACAGGCUGAAAAGAUCCUUCCACCAAACAGAUACUGCGGGCUAUGAAAUUAAGACCCCAGGGCACAUCGAGGGAGAUCUGGGGUGCUCCCAGAUUCAGGGAAAUGGGGCUUGAAGGGCUAGCCCAAAAGUGAAAUUGGAGGUGGCACGGGGGGUCAGACUGGGGGGUUAACUGGACAACCCCAGAGAUGUGGAGUAAGGCUUGUUGAGCCGAAACAGCUUGCUGAGGAAGGGGACGGGGCUGGAAAAGGUGACCAGGGGACCAGUGGAUGUAGUGUGAAUUGAAUUCCUGAGUUCCUGAGACUUGCGGACAGACCCCCUGCUGAGGCUGGGAGAAGGGUGAUGAGCCAGAGACACCCCCUCGGGGAGAGCAAAGGCUGGCUGUCCCCUGACAGGGAAGAAAAUGCAGCAAGCUGAGAUCUCCCUCCAGUCAGGGAGAUUCGGAGGUGUGUACUGAGCAAAGAGGCUUCGGGCCUGAGGGACAUGCCUGAGCCCCCACCCAAUCUCCACCCCCAGCAGCCAGACGCAGAAGAGGAAAAGGUGGAUGGACACCGGGAGGCAGCCUGAUAAAGACCCUGGCCAGGCCAGCACCUCUCACCGGCUCCUGGGGCUGGGCUGUCCCGCAACGGAUCCAGAUUGGUGCGCGGUGCCGGGCACGGAUGCUUCACCAAGAGCACAAGAAAGCGGGUAGAGGGUCCUCUGGGUGAGGGGGCUUCGGAGGGGGGAACACGGGCAUCACUGACCACCUCUGUCCCACCUCUGCCUGCACAGUGCUGCUCCAGACCCGCCACGGGGCUCAUCCGGUCGCUCCCGCUCCUGGGGGCGGCUCUGUUGACAGUUCUGGAAGGUGGAAGUGGGAUGAAGAAUCUGGGAGCUUGCGACGUAGAAGUUUGAAGCUGGCCUAGGGUCCAGGCUCAGAGGGCCCUUGAGAGCUCUGGGGCCCCUUCUGCACCCUGGUUCCACUAUCAUCCACCGAUCACCCCCACCCCACCCCUCUGAAGGGUAGUCCAACGGGUGGCAGAUCUGCCAAGGGAAGCCCUAGUGACUCACCCUUCCUGAAUUAGCUUUUGUGCUUGUACAGACUGGAAAGGGGCAGGGGCGGGAGGAGGCAGUGCUGAGAGAAAGGCGGGCCCCAGCCGCUUCGGCCCCAUCUAGCCCAUCAGGUACCCUCUCCACGACCUCCACUGCUUCUGAUUCUAACACCAUGACCUCCAAGAACCACAUCCCAGGGUUCCCGUUCCCACCCCUGGAAUCUCAUCCUAAGGGCUCCCAAUACUGACAUUUUUGCACCCUUGCCUGUCUUUGGGGCAGGCCCAGGCCCCACCCAGGCUAGCAGCCUGGCUCAGAUGGAGAAGCUGGGUGAAGCUCUGGCGAGCAAGGCCAAGCACGCCAUCGACCGCCUGCAGCACGCCAUUUCUGACGAGGCCAAAGGAAGAAACUGAGGCACAGAAGACUAAUGUCGCUUAUACAAUGUCAUGCAGCCAAAUCAUUUUGGAGCCAGUCAAUUUAUUUUUCAAGCAUUUUCUUGGGGAGGAAAGCUCUCAGGCUGGAGAACUCAAACGAUACCCAGGGACAGAGAAGAACCAGCAGUCUGUGGAGUAAGUUUACAUUCUGUAAAGAGGCUCAGAUUCAGGAGCAAGUUGAUGGACACAACCAACUGACACCCAUCCACUCCCAGUCACCGGGAAGAAAGCACAAGUGUGAAGAUGCCUGGUGUUGGUGAGAAGGUGGGACCUGGGUCACUGUUAUGGAGAGAAACUGGAAAUCGGUGUCAAAAAUAUACCACAAAAUCAAGAAGCAUUUAAAAAUUCCUGUCUCCUAAACACCACGAGGGCCACCCCUCUCCUCUGCAGCUGGGCCCUAAGAGGGGGCUCUGAAAUUUUCCACACCCCAGGUCCCUUGAUGGUAAAGCCGGCACAGUACAGGAGCCAGAGAAACACAUGGGGAGAUGGAUGAGGAUGUUCAGUAAGGUGUUUUGUGGGAUGGGAGCUGCAAGAGACCCAGAGGUCCAUCAUGAGGGGAGUGAAAAAAUAAAGGUUGGGAGUCCAUGCAGCUGCAGAAGGAACGAGAUACUUCUUCACAUAACAACUUGGAGAGAUCUGACAAUGUAGGUGGGAGUGAAAAAGAAACAGAAGAUCCACAGCAUGGUAUCAACGGAUGUCAAAUUAGAACACACAUAUGGAAGAACCUUGCGUAUUUGAGUUAUUUCCUGUCUGAGGACAUGCCCCAAGCACAUCUGAAGGAUGCUUAAGGAGGAGAGAGGAACAGGAGUGAGGAUGGAAAGCAAAGGAUAUCAAGAUCACAGAGGCUGUCUUGUUCCCCUCAGGGCCCCCGAGUGCCUGGCGCACAGUGAGAACGCAAUCAAUAUUUCUUGAAUAAAUGAAUGCACGUUUACAUUC